AUACGUAGGUGGCAAGCGUUGUCCGGAUUUACUGGGUGUAAAGGGCGUGUAGGCGGAGAUGCAAGUCAGGAGUGAAAUCUAGGGGCUCAACCCCUAAACUGCUUUUGAAACUGUAUCCCUUGAGUAUCGGAGAGGCAGGCGGAAUUCCUAGUGUAGCGGUGAAAUGCGUAGAUAUUAGGAGGAACACCAGUGGCGAAGGCGGCCUUCUGGACGACAACUGACGUUCAGGCGCUAAAGUGUGGGGAGCAAACAGGAUUAGAUACCCUGGUAGUCCACACUGUAAACGAUGAAUGCUAGGUUUAGGGGGUAUCGACCCCUUCUGUGCCGCAGUCAACACAAUAAGCAUUCCGCCUGGGGAGUAAGGCCGCAAGGUUGAAACUCAAAGGAAUUGACGGGG
rnacentral:rRNA from 1 species